UUAAGUUCAGCGGGUAUCCCUACCUGAUCCGAGGUCAACCAUAGAAAAUUGGGGGUUGCUGGCAAACGUCCACCGAAACCCAACAGCGAGAAGAAUUACUACGCUGAGAGCACGAUGGCGCCGCCACUGAUUUUGGGGCCAGCCGUUGCCGGCACGGCCCAAGACAAGCAAAGCUUGAGGGUUGUAAUGACGCUCGAACA
rnacentral:misc_RNA from 1 species